rnacentral:rRNA from 1 species
GACGGGGCCCGGCACAAGCGGUGGAGUAUGUGGUUUAAUUCGAUGCAACGCGAAGAACUUACCUGGUCUUGACAUCCCGGAGACCCUUAGGAAACUAGGGGGUGCUUCCAUCUGGAAGAAUCUGGAGACAGGUGCUGCAUGGCUGUCGUCAGCUCGUGUCGUGAGAUGUUGGGUUAAGUCCCGCAACGAGCGCAACCCUUGCCUUUAGUUGCCAGCAGUUCGGCUGGGCACUCUAAAGGGACUGCCGGUGUUAAACCGGAGGAAGGUGGGGAUGACGUCAAGUCCUCAUGGCCUUUAUGACCAGGGCUACACACGUACUACAAUGGCCGAUACAAAGGGCAGCGACACUGCGAGGUGAAGCCAAUCCCGUAAAAUCGGUCUCAGUCCGGAUUGGAGUCUGCAACUCGACUCCAUGAAGUUGGAAUCGCUAGUAAUCGUGGAUCAGCAUGCCACGGUGAAUACGUUCCCGGGCCUU